UGAAAAUAAUAACCAACCGAAAGAUUCGAAUACAUCACCUACCCUACCGAGAUUCUGUUUGGGAAAAUCAUUUCCCCACAUAGACAGUGACGAAGAAAAUGCCGAAGAUAGGCGUAAUUCGUUGACCGAUGAUCAUUUGGAAAGUGAAAUUAUAGCGCCAAAUUUAAUUACCGAUUUGCCUGAAAAGUUGCUUUUAUCUGGCAUCUAUUUACCAGGAACUCGAGACUUGAAAGGAAAUCCGUUGAUCACAGUUGAUGCUGAAAGUGUGUUAACAGCUGGCCUGAAUUGUUAUGAAAUUGCCACAUUGCUUUUGUACUACAGUACAAUACCGGAAAG